GGGUGAGUAAUGCAUAGGAACGUACCUUUUGGUGGGGGAUAACCACGGGAAACUGUGGCUAAUACCGCAUAAUGACGUAAGUCUAAAGCAGGCCUCUAUUUAUAAGCUUGUACCAAGAGAAUGGCCUAUGUCCCAUUAGCUAGUUGGUUAGGGUAAUGGCCUACCAAGGCUACGAUGGGUAGCUGGUCUGAGAGGAUGAUCAGCCACACUGGGACUGAGACACGGCCCAGACUCC
rnacentral:rRNA from 1 species